GCCUACAGCCAUACCACCCUAAAUGUGCCUGAUCUCAUCUGAUCUUGGAAGCAAGGCACGGUUGGGCCCGGUUAGUACCAGGAUUUGAGAGAUGGCUCAGCAGCUA
rnacentral:rRNA from 1 species